UCCUUUACCUCUCAAUGAAAAAU
rnacentral:tRNA from 1 species